rnacentral:rRNA from 1 species
GAUGAACGCUGGCGGCGUGCCUAAUACAUGCAAGUCGAGCGAAUGGAUUAAGAGCUUGCUCUUAUGAAGUUAGCGGCGGACGGGUGAGUAACACGUGGGUAACCUGCCCAUAAGACUGGGAUAACUCCGGGAAACCGGGGCUAAUACCGGAUAACAUUUUGAACCGCAUGGUUCGAAAUUGAAAGGCGGCUUCGGCUGUCACUUAUCGAUGGACCCGCGUCGCAUUAGCUAGUUGGUGAGGUAACGGCUCACCAAGGCAACGAUGCGUAGCGGACCUGAGAGGGUGAUCGGCCACACUGGGACUGAGACACGGCCCAGACUCCGACGGGAGGCAGCAGUAGGGAAUCUUCCGCAAUGGACGAAAGUCUGACGGAGCAACGCCGCGUGAGUGAUGAAGGCUUUCGGGUCGUAAAACUCUGUUGUUAGGGAAGAACAAGUGCUAGUUGAAUAAGCUGGCACCCUGACGGUACCUAACCAGAAAGCCACGGCUAACUACGCGCCAGCCGCCGCGGUAA